rnacentral:rRNA from 1 species
AACGCGAAGAACCUUACCUGGGCUCGAAGCACAGUGGACCGGGGUAGAAAUAUCCCUUUUCGCAAGAACUGCUGUGGAGGUGCUGCAUGGCUGUCGUCAGCUCGUGUCGUGAGAUGUUGGGUUAAGUCCCGCAACGAGCGCAACCCCCGUCCUUAGUUGCUACCAUUUAGUUGAGCACUCUAAGGAGACUGCCGGUGAUAAGCCGCGAGGAAGGUGGGGAUGACGUCAAGUCCUCAUGGCCCUUACGGGCUGGGCUACACACGUGCUACAAUGGCGGUGACAAUGGGAUGCGAAGGCGCAAGUCCUAGCAAAUCUCAAAAAGCCGUCUCAGUUCGGAUUGGGCUCUGCAACUCGAGCCCAUGAAGUUGGAAUCGCUAGUAAUCGUGGAUCAGCACGCCACGGUGAAUACGUUCCCGGGCCUUGUACACACCGGCUAC